rnacentral:rRNA from 1 species
UACGGAGGAUCCAAGCGUUAUCCGGAUUUAUUGGGUUUAAAGGGUGCGUAGGUGGCCUGGUAAGUCAGGGGUGAAAGACGGUAGCUUAACUAUCGCAGUGCCUUUGAUACUGCCGGGCUUGAAUAAACUAGAGGUAGGCGGAAUGUGACAAGUAGCGGUGAAAUGCAUAGAUAUGUCACAGAACACCGAUUGCGAAGGCAGCUUACUACACAACGAUUGACGCUGAGGCACGAAAGCGUGGGGAUCAAACAGG